rnacentral:rRNA from 1 species
AACGCUGGCGGCAUGCUUUACACAUGCAAGUCGAACGGUAACAGGUCUUCGGAUGCUGACGAGUGGCGAACGGGUGAGUAAUACAUCGGAACGUGCCUAGUAGUGGGGGAUAACUACUCGAAAGAGUAGCUAAUACCGCAUGAGAUCUACGGAUGAAAGCAGGGGACCUUCGGGCCUUGUGCUACUAGAGCGGCUGAUGGCAGAUUAGGUAGUUGGUGGGGUAAAGGCUUACCAAGCCUGCGAUCUGUAGCUGGUCUGAGAGGACGACCAGCCACACUGGGACUGAGACACGGCCCAGACUCCUACGGGAGGCAGCAGUGGGGAAUUUUGGACAAUGGGCGAAAGCCUGAUCCAGCAAUGCCGCGUGCAGGAUGAAGGCCCUCGGGUUGUAAACUGCUUUUGUACGGAACGAAAAGCCUGGGGCUAAUAUCCCCGGGUCAUGACGGUACCGUAAGAAUAAGCACCGGCUAACUACGUGCCAGCAGCCGCGGUAAUACGUAGGGUGCAAGCGUUAAUCGGAAUUACUGGGCGUAAAGCGUGCGCAGGCGGUUUUGUAAGACAGUGGUGAAAUCCCCGGGCUCAACCUGGGAACUGCCAUUGUGACUGCAAGGCUAGAGUGCGGCAGAGGGGGAUGGAAUUCCGCGUGUAGCAGUGAAAUGCGUAGAUAUGCGGAGGAACACCGAUGGCGAAGGCAAUCCCCUGGGCCUGCACUGACGCUCAUGCACGA